GGAGGGUGCAAGCGUUAUCCGGAUUCACUGGGUUUAAAGGGUGCGUAGGCGGGAAUGUAAGUCAGUGGUGAAAUCUCGGAGCUUAACUCCGAAACUGCCAUUGAUACUAUGUUUCUUGAAUAUUGUGGAGGUGAGCGGAAUAUGUCAUGUAGCGGUGAAAUGCUUAGAUAUGACAUAGAACACCGAUUGCGAAGGCAGCUCGCUACACAUAUAUUGACGCUGAGGCACGAAAGCGUGGGGAUCAAACAGGAUUAGAUACCCUGGUAGUCCCACGCCCCUAAACUAUGAUUACUCGACGUGUGCGAUACACAGUACGCGUCUGAGCGAAAGCAUUAAAGUAAUCCACCUGGGAAGUACGACCGCAAGGUUG
rnacentral:rRNA from 1 species